rnacentral:rRNA from 1 species
AUUGAACGCUGGCGGCAUGCCUUACACAUGCAGGUCGAACGGUAACGGGCCUUCGGGUGCCGACGAGUGGCGAACGGGUGAGUAAUGUAUCGGAACGUACCAUUGAGUGGGGGAUAACGUAGCGAAAGUUACGCUAAUACCGCAUAUUCUCUCCGGAGGAAAGCAGGGGACCGCAAGGCCUUGUGCUCUUUGGGCGGCCGAUAUCAGAUUAGCUAGUUGGUGGGGUAAAAGCUCACCAAGGCGACGAUCUGUAGCGGGUCUGAGAGGAUGAUCCGCCACACUGGAACUGAGACACGGUCCAGACUCCUACGGGAGGCAGCAGUGGGGAAUUUUGGACAAUGGGGGCAACCCUGAUCCAGCCAUGCCGCGUGAGUGAAGAAGGCCUUCGGGUUGUAAAGCUCUUUCAGCCGGGAAGAAAUCGCAUGGGCUAAUACCCCGUGCGGAUGACGGUACCGGAAUAAGAAGCACCGGCUAACUACGUGCCAGCAGCCGCGGUAA